GCCCGGCUAGCUCAGCCGGUAGGGCACGAGACUCUUAAUGUCGGGGUCGUGGGUUCGAGCCCCCACGUUGUGCG
rfam:Octopus bimaculoides Scaffold48737_contig_14, whole genome shotgun sequence.